rnacentral:rRNA from 1 species
UGGGGAAUAUUGCACAAUGGGCGCAAGCCUGAUGCAGCCAUGCCGCGUGUGUGAAGAAGGCCUUCGGGUUGUAAAGCACUUUCAGUAAGGAGGAAAGGUUAAGUGUUAAUAGCGCUUAGCUGUGACGUUACUUACAGAAGAAGCACCGGCUAACUCCGUGCCAGCAGCCGCGGUAAUACGGAGGGUGCGAGCGUUAAUCGGAAUUACUGGGCGUAAAGCGUACGCAGGCGGUUUGUUAAGCGAGAUGUGAAAGCCCCGGGCUCAACCUGGGAACUGCAUUUCGAACUGGCAAACUAGAGUGUGAUAGAGGGUGGUAGAAUUUCAGGUGUAGCGGUGAAAUGCGUAGAGAUCUGAAGGAAUACCGAUGGCGAAGGCAGCCACCUGGGUCAACACUGACGCUCAUGUACGAAAGCGUGGGGAGCAAACAGGAUUAGAUACCCCCGUAGUCC